GACGAACGCUGGCGGCGUGCUUAACACAUGCAAGUCGAACGGAAAGGCCCUGCUUGCAGGGUACUCGAGUGGCGAACGGGUGAGUAACACGUGGGUGAUCUGCCCUGCACUUCGGGAUAAGCUUGGUAAACUGGCCUAAUACCGGAUAGGAGCCAACCUUUAAGUGGUGGUUGGAAAGUUUUUUCGGGGUAGGGUAAGCUUGCGGCCUAAACGCUUGUUGGUGGGGUUAUGGCCUACCAAGGCGGCGACGGGAAGCCGGCCUGAGGGGGUGUACGGCCACAUUGGGACUGAGAGACGGCCCAGACUCCGACGGGAGGCAGCAGGGGGGAAUAUUGCACAAGGGGCGCCAGCCUGAUGCAGCGACGCCGCGUGGGGGAUGAAGGCCUUCGGGUUGUAAACUCCUUUCGCUAGGGACGAAGCUUUGUUGUGACGGUACCUAGAUAAGAAGCACCGGCUAACUACGUG
rnacentral:rRNA from 1 species